CCUACGGGUGGCAGCAGUGGGGAAUAUUGGGCAAUGGACGCAAGUCUGACCCAGCAAUGCCGCGUGAAGGAAGAAGGCUUUCGGGUUGUAAACUUCUUUGAAGGGGGAAGAGCAGAAGACGGUACCCCUUGAAUAAGCCACGGCUAACUACGUGCCAGCAGCCGAGGUAAUACGGAGGUGGCAAGCGUGGUACGGAUUGACUGGGUGUAAAGGGCGUGCAUCCGGGAAGACAAGUCAGAUGUGAAAUCCCGCGGCUCAACCGCGGAACUGCAUUUGAAACUGGUUUUCUUGAGUAUCGGAGAGGUAAUCAGAAUUCCUAGUGUAGCGGUGAAAUGCGUAGAUAUGAGGAAGAACACCAGGGGCGAAGGCGGAUUACUGGACGACAACUGACGGUGAGGCGCGAAAGCGUGGGGAGCAAACAGGAUUAGAUACCCUUGUAGUC
rnacentral:rRNA from 1 species